AGGGUGUAAACGCUGCAGACUUGGUGUUGGAAGCCCUUUGGGGGCAUUCAGUGCCGGAGAGAAGUUGUUAAGUCUGCUACUUGGGGAGUACGUCCGCAAGGAUGAAACUUAAAGGAAUUGGCGGGGGAGCACCGCAACGGGAGGAGCGUGCGGUUUAAUUGGAUUCAACACCGUAAAACUCACCAGGGAAGACUGUUACAUGAAGGCCGAGAUGAAGACUCUGCCAGAUUUUCAGAGAGGAGGUGCAUGGCGUCAGUGACU
rnacentral:rRNA from 1 species